UACAGAGGUCUCAAGCGUUGUUCGGAUUCAUUGGGCGUAAAGGGUGUGUAGGUGGCGCCGUAAGUCGGGUGUGAAAUCUCGGGGCUUAACUCCGAAACUGCAUUCGAUACUGCGGUGCUUGAGGACUGGAGGGGAGACUGGAAUUCAUGGUGUAGCAGUGAAAUGCGUAGAGAUCAUGAGGAAGACCAGUGGCGAAGGCGGGUCUCUGGACAGUUCCUGACACUGAGACACGAAGGCCAGGGGAGCAAACGGG
rnacentral:rRNA from 1 species